CCUUGGCUUGAUCGAAGUCACUUCAGUUUUGUUUGAAUUGUGGUGGUCAAAAGUAAGCCAAAAUAAAAUCUUUCAGACGGUCGCUAUUAAGUUCUAAAAUAACUUAUUAGCAUUACCAAAUGUCAGUACAUAU
rfam:Lottia gigantea unplaced genomic scaffold LOTGIsca_5, whole genome shotgun sequence.